CAGCAGCCGCGGGAAUACAGAGGGUGCGAGCGUUAAUCGGAUUUACUGGGCGUAAAGCGUGCGUAGGCGGCUAAUUGAGUCGGAUGUGAAAUCCCCGAGCUUAACUUGGGAAUUGCAUUCGAUACUGGUUAGCUAGAGUGUGGGAGAGGAUGGUAGAAUUCCAGGUGUAGCGGUGAAAUGCGUAGAGAUCUGGAGGAAUACCGAUGGCGAAGGCAGCCAUCUGGCCUAACACUGACGCUGAGGUACGAAAGCAUGGGGAGCAAACAGGAUUAGAUACCCCAGUAGUCCCUGUCUCUUAUAC
rnacentral:rRNA from 1 species